ACCCUGGACUCCUUACCCUCAGGACUGACAUGACAUCUCAUGGGCCCCCAUGUUGGGUGGAAUUGUGAACUUCCACUGUGUAGCUGCCCCGGAGAUGUCCACCUUCUGUCCCCCAGAACCUGUGACAACGUGGGAGCUUGCAGGUGAGAGCAAGUGAAGAACUGUGAGAUGGGAGAGAUGGCCCCGGAGAGUCCAGGUAGGAAGAGCAUAACCACAGAGAGAUUCCUGCCAAGAGAGGUCAGGUGAGAGGACGCUGCGGUAACAGAAAAGAAGGUUGUCUGAUUUGACCAAGGAACAAAGCUACCUCCAAAACCUGCACAAAGCAAGGGAGGUAAUUCUCACUCCAGAGGGAACCAGCCUGUCCACAUCCU
rnacentral:lncRNA from 1 species